UGUUGAAAAGGAGGUUUGGACAGACGCCUCCUAUGUAAUAUGUUCUAGCAACCUUAAGAUUAUAAGCCUCGCUAUCGAUUUUAAGCAUUUGGUAGGUUAAAUUCUUGAAGAUGAUCUGUUGGAAGUUGAAGAAAAGCAACAUAGCCUUAUCUAAGCAUGGUGUAAGUAUUGGCUUCGUUAACUAGCAAAAGUCAAUCUUUUGCCUAUAUAAAGGAAGCAUUGCUAUGAAAAUGCUGA
rnacentral:misc_RNA from 1 species